rnacentral:tRNA from 1 species
GCGGCUUUAGCUCACUUGGGAGAGCGCCAGACUGAAGUCAACUUCGGGUCAUUGAUCAUCUGGAGGCACUGUGUUCGAUCCACAGAAGCCGCA